ensembl:lncRNA
GGAGGAAUCACUCAUCUUUGGAAAAGAGAGUUUAUUACAGAGAAAUGGCUCUUUCCAAAAUAAAAGCUCUACUAGACGCUUCUUCUGGGCUAUAUUCUCAGCAGCAUAUUAAACAUAUCAGGUCCCCAUAAGGAGAAUCCUGUGCUAACGGCUGUCUAAAUGACUCGGGUAAAGUUUGUAGCAUGCGUGCUUGUUGUUUUUGUCUGCUUCCACUUGUCUUUGCACUAGGAUGCUGUCGGAGUAAAUGUGCAGUCAUAUUUGUUGUGUUCCCACUAGUGCUUUCAGGUUAAUCUGAAAUGACGUUAACGCCACAACACGGCAAAACUCCGUUAACGAGCUACCGCGGAUCGCCCGUGCGUGGGGCUGGACGGCGUCAACACGUUAACGAGCUAACUGUGCUAACACACUAGCUCCCACCCAUGUAAUUGAGCAUUGCGUGGCACAUCCAACAUACUGUUUUACUUUAGUCCAUGACGCGCUUACCUUCAGAGUCAUACUUCACAUGAAAACCAAAAUAGUUCCAAAGGCCAGAUCUGAAUGAGGGUGGGGGGGGUUCAAUUUGCCAUCUUUUUUUCCUUUUUCUUUUUUUUUUUUUGGCCUGUCCCAUUUGGUUCUUUAGCCAUCAGAAUUGUUGUCUGAAGACCAACAAGGAUACCCAAUGGAUUUACUUUGCCAAAUGGAUCAUCGUGGCAUUGCCGUAUUGGUCCACGAGCGAUCGUGGCUCAAGAGUUGGGCGUUCGCCUUGUAAUCGGAAGGUUGCCGGUUCAAGCCCCAGCUCGGGCAGUCUCGGUCGUUGUGUCCUUGGGCAAGACACUUCACCCAUUGCCUACUGGUGGUGGUCAGAGGGCCUGGUGGAGCCAGUGUCGGGCAGCCUCGCCUCUGUCAGUGUGCCCCAGGGUGGCUGUGGCUACAAUGUAGCUUGCCAUCACCAGUGUGUGAAUGUGCGUGAAUGGGUGGAUGACUGGAUAUGUAAAGCGCUUUGGAGUCCUUAGAGACUAGUAAAGCGCUAUAUAAAUACAGGCCAUUUACCAUUACCAUUUGAUCGAUCUUUGUUUUUAUUAUUUAUUAUAUUUUAUUUUCAGAUGUUACAGACGGGACAGACAUGAGUGAGGGAUAGGAAAGGGAGAAAGAAAGAGGAAGGAAAAGAAAAACAGAAGGGGAGAGGGACAGUGAGAAAGGGGGGAGAAAAAAAAACCUCCUGGAUCACCUGUUGAGAGAAGAAGAAUAGAAAACAAGCAAAAAAAAAAAAAACCAAAGCAACAUACUAAACACAACACCAUCGCAUUAAUCUAGCUAAGUGUAAACAGGAGUAAAUACUAAAUAUUCAAUGUUGUUGUGCGGCACGCAGGACAGACAGCGCACAAUGUGCUUUGAAGUAGCAGCCAAGAAAGGUGUAAUUUAAGUCUAUGAGCAGUGAACACCCGUGUGCACACCUGUGUGGAUCAGCGCGCUUGUAUUCAAAUGGUUUCCCCAUGUAAUGGUCUGCAAGAGGAUGUAGAGAGCCAUAGCCCCGUCCCCCAGGGCAUGAAGCAGGCAUGGAGGAGAUCCAGGCUCCAGACAUCCAGAGGCCCCAGAGUGCGAG